rfam:Hordeum vulgare subsp. vulgare, WGS project CAJW01000000 data, contig: morex_contig_2562484
CUUGUAUUCCCCCCGUCCGGAAAUACUUGUCAUAGGAAUAGAUGUAUCUAGAUGUAUUUUAGUUCUAGAUACAUCAAUUUCCAUCCAUUGAUGCGACAAGUACUUUCGUAUGAAGGGAGUAACUA